GGGCCAGUGGCAUAAUGGAUAACGCAUCUGACUUCGGAUCAGGAGGUUGUAGGUUUGACUCCUGCCUGGCUCA